UGUGCAAUGCAAACUCAAACACAUACAAAUGCUAUUUGAACUUGUGUGAUCAGAGACAUAAUUAACAAUGAUCUCAGCAUAGCAAGUCCUGUCAGGCUUAAUCUAAUAACACAUACACAUGCACAUCCUUGAGAAUAAAACGCUGUGCGAUUUGAAAUCAUGGGUGUAACUUUGUUUUGAAAAGUGCUAAGAACACAUGUUGACGAGUCAGAAAAAAGAGUGCGUGAUCUGUUCAUCCUUUUUAUACAUGGGUGUCAAACCCAGCCCAUGGAAAUGCUAACACUUCCCUUUUAACCAGCAGCUUUAUAAAAUAUGUUGUGUUGCACUGAGAGAUUGUUAGAAGCAAAAAAGCAAACUGAGGGGGCGCUUCAGCAGGCUGAUUAAAAUGGCCAUUUACAUGACUGCUACAGCUGAUGUAAUGCCUCACACUUUACAGAAUAUAUGCAUGUUCCAUAAUAGAUAAAUAGAUAGAUAGAUGUACUUUAUUAAUCUCGAAUGGGAAAUUAGGGAUUGGAGUUUAAUGUAAACAAUAAUGAUAUCAGUGGGUUACAAGCAAAAAAAGUAUUAUUAGACAGGACAAUUUUUUAUUACAGACACCAACCUGGCUUAGUGGUUAGCACGUUCACCUCACACCUCCUGGGUCUGGGGUUCGAGUCCUGCUGGGGCCAUGUAUGUGUGGAGUUUGUACAAAGACAUGCAUGGUAGGCUGAUUGGUGUGUCCAUAGUGUGUGAGUGUAUAUGUGAUUGUGCCCUGUGAUGGACUGGCACCCUGUCCAGGGUGUACCCUGCCUUGUGCCCAAUGCUCCCUGGGAUAGGCUCCAGGUUCCCAGUGACCCUGAAAAGGAGUAAGUGGUGGAAGAUGGAUGGAUGGAGACACCAACCUCACUAAACUGAUAUUUUAGAAAGCAUUUAGAUCAGUUUCUGUUCUGUUGCUAAGAAUUCUAUUAAAUCAUUUAAGGGACUACACUUACAAAAAGUGGCACCAUGUAUGGAAGGAUGUGUGUGUGACCUUGGCGUAUUGCCAACAAAUUCCCAAUGUGUAGCGUAGCGUCAACAAAAUCUGUCUUUUUUUUUUUUUUUUUUUCAGAGCACACACCCACACAGGUGGGCCAAGGUAAUGUGUGAUUAGUCACUGAGUUUGAUCCACUUUUAUUAUUUAACACUCUGGGCCAGCUAAACUAUAAAUAAUGAAAAAAAGAGUACAGUAUCUUGAGUUCUCAUAAACAAGAUAGGGAGUAUAGAAGAACAAAUCCUGCUCUUUUUGUUGUUUCCAGCAGGAAGCAGAGGGAAAUUCCAUGUCCUUUCUACUUUGAAAUAGGAGAAAAGAGACAGAUAAACUGAAGGAAUGAAGACAAAGUGGAAGUGCCUAAACAUUUCAAGUUUAAUAACCUGAGCUGAACAACGUUACACACGAAGGAGCUGGAACGUAUUAGCGACUCCAGUGAAGAGUUCUCAGCAGGAAGAAGAAGCAGAUGAUUCACCACCCUUUGUUUAUGUAACAGUGACUGACCCUCACACAUGGCCUUAUUUUCUCUGCAGCAUCUGAGCCUCUCCUCCUGUCCAAACACACUGGUUCUCCCUCUGGGACAACUGCUUACUCUCAACAGAUGUGGGAAUGUUGUUCAGCAUUUCAUCUCUGAAUAAAGUAAUUACAUGCAUUAAUUAUGAAUAUAUAAGUGUCUCACAUAGAUCAUGCCACCCUACUCUGGGAUGCUAGUUUUGUUUUACUUCCAAGUUUUAAUCACAGUUUCCUGUCUGACUGUUCAUUAAAAGCAAUUUACACUCACCAAAACUUUAUUAAGAACACAUGUACACUUACAGUACUCAUUCAUGCAUUUAUCUAAUCAGCCAAUCAUGUGGAAGCAGUACAAUGCAAAAUCUUAUGCAGAUACAGGCCAGCAGCUUCAGGUAAUGUUCACAUCUCAGUGAUUUUAACCAUGGCAUGAUUGUUGGUGCUAGAUGGGCUGGUUUGAGUAUUUCUAUAACUAGGAUCUCUUGAGAUUUCCUGAGAGUCUGUAGAGCUUACUCAGAGUGGUGCAAUAAAGUAAAAAACAUCCAGUGAGCAGCAGUUCUACGGAUGGAAAUGCCUUGUUCAUGAGAUGAGAAUGGCCAGACUGAUUGUAGCUGACAGAAAGGCUACAGUAACUCAGAUAACCACUCUGUACAACUGUGAUCAACAGAAAAGUAUCUCAGGAUGCACAUUGAACCUUGAGGAGGAUGGGCUACAAUAGCAGAAGACCACUUCGGGCUCUACUUCUGUCAGCCAAGAUCAGAAAGCUGAGGCUGCAGUGGCUACAGGCACACCAAAAAUGGACAGAAAAAACCUUAUCUGUUGAAUCUCAAUUUCUGCUGAGGCACACAGAUGGUAAGGUCAUAAUUUGGUGCCAACAGCAUGAAUCCAUGGACAACCUGCCUUGUGUCAACAGUCCAGGCUGGUUGAGAUGGUGUAAUAGGGUGGGGAAUGUUUUCUUGGUACACCUUGGGCCAGUUAAUACCAAUCAAUCUUGAAUGCCACAGACUAUUUGAGUAUUGUUCCUGAUCAUGUGCAUUCCUUCAUGGCCACAAUUUACCCAUCUUCUAAUACCUACUUCCAGCAUGAUAAUGCACCAUGUCACAAAGAAAAAGCUGUCUCAAACUGGUUUCAUGAUUGUGACAAUGAGUUCAGUGUUCUUCAGUGGCCUUCCCAGUCACCGGAUUGGAAUUCAAAACCUUAAUAGAACACCUUUGGGAUGUGGUACAACGGGAGAUUCACAGCAUGAAAGUACACACCUUAUGGAAUCUACAUGCUACAAAGAAUUGCCUCUGUUUUGAGAGCAAAGGGAGGCCCUACCCAGUAUUAGUUUAGUGUUCCUAAUUAAGUGUUCUGUGAGUGUAUGUAAUAUUUACAUAGUGCAAAGGAAGUUACUAAAAUACCAUUUAAACCAAAGUGUUUAUUUGAUCAAAGACCAUAGUGUGUGUGUGUGUGUGUGUGUGUGUGUGUGUGUGUGUGUGUGUGUGUGUGUGUGUGUGUGUGUGUGUGUGUGUGUAUGUGUGUGGGUGUGUGCGUACCAAUAUUAUCCCAUUGAUGUGGAAUAAAACUGAUAAUGGGAACUCCAAACAAUCAUCCAACUGGGAAUUUCCACUGUAGAUCUCUAACACCAGUGGGAAAGCAAAAGCUGUGUUGGACUCAGGUGAGUGUCAUAUAAAUAGAUUUAGCAUGAGGGCAUAUGAAAAUAGCAGUCCAGAAAACAUUGACUCUUAUUUUCCUCGAGCAUUAGUAGUUUUGUGGGCAGUGCUUUAUAUGAUUUAAAGACAUUCAGGGGUCAUUUUACCUCAGGCUUUAUUUACAUUCAACAUUUUAUUGUAAACCACUCUGUGGCUUUUAAGGUUGUGUGAAUGCCCUGAUUGCCUUAGAUUAUUUCUCAGCUUGUUGUGUUUUUGCUGGCAAUGUUUGGAGUUUAUAAUGCAUAGAAUAGAACCAUUAAA